GACGAACCGUCCAAACGUUAUUCGGAAUUACUGGGCGUAAAGCGUGCGUAGGUGGUUUGUUAAGUCUGAUGUGAAAGCCCUGGGCUCAACCUGGGAAUGGCAUUGGAUACUGGCGAGCUAGAGUGCGGUAGAGGGUAGUGGAAUUCCCGGUGUAGCAGUGAAAUGCGUAGAGAUCGGGAGGAACAUCUGUGGCGAAGGCGACUACCUGGACCAGCACUGACACUGAGGCACGAAAGCGUGGGGAGCAAACAGG
rnacentral:rRNA from 1 species